AUUGAACGCUGGCGGCAGGCCUAACACAUGCAAGUCGAGCGGAUGAAGGGAGCUUGCUCCUGGAUUCAGCGGCGGACGGGUGAGUAAUGCCUAGGAAUCUGCCUGGUAGUGGGGGAUAACGUCCGGAAACGGGCGCUAAUACCGCAUACGUCCUGAGGGAGAAAGUGGGGGAUCUUCGGACCUCACGCUAUCAGAUGAGCCUAGGUCGGAUUAGCUAGUUGGUGGGGUAAAGGCCUACCAAGGCGACGAUCCGUAACUGGUCUGAGAGGAUGAUCAGUCACACUGGAACUGAGACACGUUCCUGACGCCUACGGGAGGCAGCAGUAGGGAAUAUUGGACAAUGGGCGAGAGCCUGAUACAGCCAUGCCGCGUGUGUGAAGAAAAUCUUCGGAGUGUAAAGCACUUUAAGUUGGGAGGAAGGGCAGUAAGUUAAUACCUUGCUGUUUUGACGUUACCAACAGAAUAAGCACCGGCUAACUUCGUG
rnacentral:rRNA from 1 species